rnacentral:rRNA from 1 species
GACGAACGCUGGCGGCGCGCUUAACACAUGCAAGUCGAGCGAAGCGGCGGACGGGUGAGUAACACGUGAGUAACCUGCCUUAGACAUUGGGAUAGCCUCGGGAAACCGGGAUUAAUACCAAAUGGUCUAAGGUGGACUCGCGUCCCAUUAGCAAGUUGGUGAGGUAACGGCCCACCAAGGCGACGAUGGGUAGCCGGCAUUAGAGGGGGGACGGCUACAUUGGAACUGAGAACCGGUCCAAACUCUACGGAAGGCAGGAAUGGGGAAUAUUGCACAAUGGAGGGAACUCUGAUGCAGCGGCGGCGCGUGAACGAAGAAGGCGUUCGAGACGUAAAGUUCUUUUAUAUGGGAAGCGGUACCAUAAGAAAAAGCCCCGGCUAACUACGUGCCAGCAGCCGCGGUAAUUC